UACAGAGGUCUCAAGCGUUGUUCGGAUUCAUUGGGCGUAAAGGGUGUGUAGGUGGCGCGCUAAGUCGGGUGUGAAAAUUUCGGAGCUUUAACUCCGAAACUGCAUUCGAUACUGGCGUGCUUGAGGACUGGAGAGGAGACUGGAAUUCAUGGUGUAGCAGUGAAAUGCGUAGAGAUCAUGAGGAAGACCAGUGGCGAAGGCGGGUCUCUGGACAGUUCCUGACACUGAGACACGAAGGCCAGGGGAGCAAAACGGG
rnacentral:rRNA from 1 species